rnacentral:lncRNA from 1 species
CGGCCGCCAGUGCUCCAUCCCCAAAGCGCUUCGCUCGCCGGUGCUCAUGGUCACGCAUCAGACUCCGCCUGUCCGUCUACUCCGCCAUGACUGGCGCAAGGCCCCUCCCAUGUAGCACCCACCCCAGAUCGUGCUCGCGCUCACACUUGCUCGCUCGCAGAUCGGCCGGCCACCAUUGUGCGACGACGAAUCGGUGUGACAGCAACCGGCGAGCGUGCGACCAUCACUCUGGAAAGGUCGGAUCGGAGGCGCCGGACGCAGACAUGGAUCCUCAUCUAUCUCGAAAGGACACGGUUUGCAGACUGCGAGGCCCAGAGCAGCAAGUCGUCGGGGGGGGGCCUCCGUUGCGCGGUACGCCUAGCUGCGGUGGGCUGCCCUACUUGCCUUCCACGUGAGGACUGGGGCCAUCUGGCCCGGCGGCCGCCGCACUAGCCGCUCCCGGCAGUGGCCCAGGUUGUGCCGCAUCGCCCACACGCUAGCGCCCGAGUC